GGGGGGGGGGGGGGGGGGGGGGGGGGGGGGGAGGGGGGGCGGGGGGGGCGGGUCGGGUGGGGCGGGGGGGCGGGGCGCGGGGGAACCUGCCCUUAGGGUCGGAAGACCUCCCCGGAGGGGGUGCUAAUACCGGAUAAUGUCUGCGGACCAAGGAUUUAUCGCCUUUGGAUGGGCCCGCGUUGGAUUAGCUAGUUGGUAGGGUAAAAGCCUACCAAGGCGACGAUCCAUAGCUGGUCGGAGAGGAUGAUCAGCCACACUGGGACUGAGACACGGCCCAGACUCCUACGGGAGGCAGCAGUGGGGAAUAUUGGACAAUGGGCGAAAGCCUGAUCCAGCAAUGCCGCGUGAGUGAUGAAGGCCUUAGGGUUGUAAAGCUCUUUUACCCGGGAUGAUAAUGACAGUACCGGGAGAAUAAGCGCCGGCUAACUCCGUG
rnacentral:rRNA from 1 species